CAGAAAACUUAAUUUAUUAUCCUCUGGAAAAGAACUAAUUAAGCAACUCAAGGAACACUGAUGCUUGUAUCAACACUGAUUUUAUAGAUCACAUAGACUUUUCAGAUA